UGUCAAUGCAACAGGCUUAAAGCUAUUGAUGUGUUUUUACAGGUCACUUAUGAUGCACAAGCUUCCACAUUGACCUCUCUUUUGGACAGUUUGGAAUAUGCUGCAGCACACAUGGAAACCACAUCAUUCAACAAUGUUUUGGGGAAUGUAGAUGUAAGUGCUCACACAGCCAGUCUAGGCUUCUGAACACGGUGCCUGUUUAAGAAGUACACACAUUCACAUGGUUUCUCCUUUCAUAGGCUCACUGCAAUGAAGAUACGUUUCCCAGCUCUGGCACAGUUUGUGAACCAGAUGUGAGUGGUCAGGACAAUCUAGGCUUUUUCAUAUGCUGCUUCAAGUGGAACUGAGCUGCCAAUUUCUUCUGCAGGUUUCCCUUCACAUUGGAAAUUCUCUAGUCAGAUGUGCAUUGGAUAAGGAACCAGAUGUGAGUGUACAGGCACUGUCCUCUCCACAUGAUCAUGUCUACUUCCUGUGUGACACUGCAAUGAUGAUUGCUGCUGUGCUUUGUUUACAGGCUUUCACUUAUGGUGUAGCUAUUCCAGACAGCAGUGUUGCAGAAAACGAAGUUUGUGGGAGCUUAAUAUCAGAUCACGAAGUUGACAUUCACGUAAGCAAAACCGAGCACAUCAUGACAAGGAAAAAUACAAAGGUAAUAUUUUGUAAUGUUAACGUGUUCUACAUCAUGACAUGCC
rnacentral:lncRNA from 1 species